GACGAACGCUGGCGGCGUGCUUAACACAUGCAAGUCGAACGGAAAGGCCCUGCUUUUGUGGGGUGCUCGAGUGGCGAACGGGUGAGUAACACGUGAGUAACCUGCCCUUGACUUUGGGAUAACUUCAGGAAACUGGGGCUAAUACCGGAUAGGAGCUCCUGCUGCAUGGUGGGGGUUGGAAAGUUUCGGCGGUUGGGGAUGGACUCUCGGCUUAUCAGCUUGUUGGUGGGGUAGUGGCUUACCAAGGCUUUGACGGGUAGCCGGCCUGAGAGGGUGACCGGCCACAUUGGGACUGAGAUACGGCCCAUACUCCGACGGGAGGCAGCAGUGGGGAAUAAUGCACAAUGGGCGGAAGCCUGAUGCAGCAACGCCGCGUGCGGGAUGACGGCCUUCGGGUUGUAAACCGCUUUCGCCUGUGACGAAGCGUGAGUGACGGUAAUGGGUAAAGAAGCUCCGGCUAACUACGUG
rnacentral:rRNA from 1 species